rnacentral:rRNA from 1 species
UACGAAGGGGGCGAGCGUUGUUCGGAAUCACUGGGCGUAAAGCGUGCGCAGGCGGUCGUGUAAGACAGAUGUGAAAUCCCCGGGCUCAACCUGGGAACUGCAUUUGUGACUGCACGGCUGGAGUGCGGCAGAGGGGGAUGGAAUUCCGCGUGUAGCAGUGAAAUGCGUAGAUAUGCGGAGGAACACCGAUGGCGAAGGCAAUCCCCUGGGCCUGCACUGACGCUCAUGCACGAAAGCGUGGGGAGCAAACAGG